GGAGAACUGGGCUGCAUACAAUCGCUUUUGCCAAUGCACAGUGCGACGGCUGCAACUUGCCUCACAUCUCACCUGGCUGUCAAUGCGCGUGGUUGUUGCGAGUUGUCACACGGGAGGAAUGGAAAAGACCGGUGAUGCGCACAGACUUCCAAUCAUGCAAAGGCAGGAGAAUGAUGCAUUGUUGUAGGUCCUCUUUCAUUCCUUGUUUGGACGUUACAGA